CCUACGGGCGGCAGCAGUGGGGAAUAUUGCGCAAUGGGCGAAAGCCUGACGCAGCGACGCCGCGUGAGGGAUGAAGGUCUUCGGAUUGUAAACCUCUGUUAGCAGGGAAGAACGGUCACUUUGCUAAUCAGCAGUGAAUUGACGGUACCUGCAAAGGAAGCACCGGCUAACUCCGUGCCAGCAGCCGCGGUCAUACGGAGGGUGCGAGCGUUAAUCGGAAUUACUGGGCGUAAAGCGGUCGUAGGCGGUAUGUCAAGUCAAGGGGGAAAUCCCCGCGCUCAACGUGGGAACUGCCUUUGAAACUGGCAAACUGGAGUGUGUGAGAGGAUAGUGGAAUGCCAGGUGUAGGGGUGAAAUGCGUAGAUAUCUGGAGGAACAUCAGUGGCGAAGGCGACUAUCUGGCACAUAACUGACGCUGAGGAGCGAAAGCGUGGGUAGCAAACAGGAUUAGAUACCCCUGUAGUC
rnacentral:rRNA from 1 species